rnacentral:rRNA from 1 species
UCGAGAAUCUUCCGCAAUGCGCGCAAGCGUGACGGAGCGACGCCGCGUGGGCGAUGAAGGCCUUCGGGUUGUAAAGCCCUGUCAGUUGCUAGGAACUGCAGGCGGUGAAUAACUGUCCUGCUUGACCAUGCAACAGAGGAAGCACCGGCUAAAUACGUGCCAGCAGCCGCGGUAAUACGUAUGGUGCAAACGUUGUUCGGAAUCACUGGGCCUAAAGAGCGCGUAGGCGGUUUGGUAAGUCAGGCGUGAAAUCCCUCGGCUCAACCGAGGAACUGCACCUGAUACUGCCUCACUAGAGUGCAGGAGGGGAGAGUGGAAUUCCUGGUGGAGCGGUGAAAUGCGUAGAUAUCAGGAGGAACGCCGGUGGCGAAAGCGACUCUCUGGCCUGCUACUGACGCUGAGGCGCGAAAGCUAGGGGAGCAAACGGGAUUAGAUACCCCCGUAGUCC